UAUUCUGCCCCACGGGGAAGGAUGAGAAGCUUCGACUAAGGUUCGACUCGAGCGAAGCGAGAGAACGUUGCCGCAGGCAACGGCCCGAAG
rnacentral:sRNA from 2 species